CCGGCGACCGGCGCACGGGUGAGUAACACGUAUGCAACCUGGCCGUGACAGAUGGAUAACCGGGAGAAAUCCCGCCUAAUACAACAUAAUGCCGGGAGGGGACAUCCCCUGCCGGCCAAAGGGGCGACCCCGGUCACGGAUGGGCAUGCGGCGCAUUAGGCAGUUGGUGGGGCAACGGCCCACCAAGCCGACGAUGCGUAGGGGUUCUGAGAGGAAGGUCCCCCACAUUGGAACUGAGACACGGUCCAAACUCCUACGGAAGGCAGCAG
rnacentral:rRNA from 1 species